GACGAACGCUGGCGGCGUGCUUAACACAUGCAAGUCGAACGGUGAUCUCGAGAGCUUGCUCUUGGGUGAUCAGUGGCGAACGGGGGAGUAACACGUGAGUAACCUGCCCCAGACUCUGGAAUAACCCCGGGAAAACGGAGCUAAUACCGGAUACGAUGCAAGGCUACUACUUGGAAAGUUGUUCGGGCUGGGAUGGACUGGCGGCCUAUCAGCUUGUUGGUGAGGUAAUGGCUCACCAAGGCGACGACGGGUAGCCGGCCUGAGAGGGCGACCGGCCACACUGGGACUGAGACACGGCCCAGACUCCUACGGGAGGCAGCAGUGGGGAAUAUUGCACAAUGGGCGAAAGCCUGAUGCAGCGACGCCGCGUGAGGGAUGACGGCCUUCGGGUUGUAAACCUCUUUCAGCAGGGAAGAAGCGAAAGUGACGGUACCUGCAGAAGAAGCACCGGCUAACUACGUGCCAGCAGCCGCGGUAACAC
rnacentral:rRNA from 1 species